AAAGGAUUUUUAAUAACUUGGAGUUCAAAAGGAUAAUAUUGUUAUAUGUUAGUUUAUCGUAGUUAGCAACAUUUAUAAUAUUAAGUUAGUAAGUCGUGUUGUAGACAUUUUAGAUGUGAAUAGAAAACAAAACCCGAAAAUCAUAUACACCACCCCUUGUUGCUUUAGUCGGUCAAUAAACCAAAUGCCCCCGUGUCGUUUAAUUGAAGAACCCCAAAACCAAUAAGUCUUCAUUUUUUUUCUCUCGUGUGUUUCAUUUUUCCCAAAACCCCAAACCCUCAUCUCUCUAUCUCCUUCGCAUCUCUCUCUCGCACUUCGUGUCUCUCCCUUUUGGCUGGUUCUUCGCCGGCGUAUUUUGCAGCUCGCCGGAGUGUCGUCGUCUGUCACCGCAAGACUCCCUGUUUUUUUUUUCUCUCUCCUCUGCUCGAUUUGUUGCUGUUGCGUGUUGCUGUUAUUGUGUCGGUGUCGCUGCCGCUGGCGCCUCUAGGGCUGCGUUGUUGUCCCGCGAUGCUACUGCCGCCAUUGUCGCGUGUUGCAGCUCAAUUCUGGCCCGCCAGUGAGUUGACAUUAGAGCAGGUUUCUUGUUGGAUUCGCGAAGUUUAAGGUGAGGACGGAAAUUCAUAGAGGAACUUUAUAUUCGAAGACUUCCAAAUGUAAAUUGUACUUGGGUUUAAAUAUGUAUUAGUUAUAUUAGUCUUGUUGAGGUUGAUUGACGAUUUCUUUGAUUAGUUUGUAAUACUGAUUAGUGCCAUUGGGUUUGAUUCCCUCUUGAGGUUGUUUCCGCGAAAGCGUUGAUGGUUUUAGGUUUUGAGAUGAAGAAUAGUAUAUUUUAUUGAGUUUGUAAACAGGUUUAAAUUAUUUCCCACUUUGGGUUGUCCAA